UACGGGGGGGGCAAGCGUUGUUCGGAUUCACUGGGCUUAAAGGGCGCGUAGGCGGGUGGUCAAGUCAGGGGUGAAAUCUUUCAGCUCAACUGGAAAACAGCUUCUGAUACUGGCCAUCUUGAGGGAGGUAGGGGCAUGUGGAACUUCCGGUGGAGCGGUGAAAUGCGUAGAUAUCGGAAGGAACGCCGGUGGCGAAAGCGACGUGCUGGACCUUUUCUGACGCUGAGGCGCGAAAGCCAGGGGAGCAAACGGG
rnacentral:rRNA from 1 species